rnacentral:rRNA from 1 species
UGAAAAACUGAGGUGGUAUAAGAUGGGCCCGCGUCUGAUUAGCUGGUUGGGAGGGUAACGGCCUACCAAGGCGACGAUCAGUAGCCGGCCUGAGAGGGCGGACGGCCACAUUGGGACUGAGACACGGCCCAGACUCCUACGGGAGGCAGCAGUGGGGAAUAUUGCACAUUGGGGG